rnacentral:rRNA from 1 species
UACGUAGGGGGCGAGCGUUGUCCGGAAUUAUUGGGCGUAAAGGGUUCGUAGGCGGUAAUACAUGUCAGAUGUGAAAUCUUGUGGCUUAACCACAUCAAGCAUCUGAAACUGUAUAACUUGAGUGGAGGAGAGGUAAGUGGAAUUCCUAGUGUAGCGGUGAAAUGCGUAGAUAUUAGGAAGAAUACCAGUAGCGAAGGCGACUUACUGGCCUCUAACUGACGCUGAUGAACGAAAGCGUGGGUAGCAACCAGGAUUAGAUACCCUGGUA